UGUCUUAUGGCUUAGAUGGCAAAGCAAGUGCCUAGUAAGCAGGAGAUCACGAGUUCGAGUCUCGUUAGGACCU
rfam:Daphnia pulex DAPPTscaffold_238_Cont7633, whole genome shotgun sequence.